rnacentral:lncRNA from 1 species
CAUAACUCCUCAUUUAUCUUCAACAUCAAAAGAAGGGUUUCUCUCAAGAUCAUAACCUAUAGCAAGAAUCAAAUCCUUCUUCAAGAAUAUAUGAUCUCCAUGUUUUUCAAACUCAAGAGCCAAUUUAUUUUCUCUCAAAGGAACACGAACCCUAGUCAAGGAAUCAAGAAUAUGUCUAAGAAUUUCUUCAAAAAUCUUCCACCUAAGGUAUGCGUAGUGUUCAUGCAUGGAUUUCUUUUAUCUGUAGGAGUCCAAGAACCAUGCUUUCAAUACUAUAUUGUGAUUUUCUUGUUGAGAUGUGAUCAUGUACAUGUUGAUGGUUGUUGUUUAUGCUUCAAGAUGUUAAUUUAGGGUGAUUCUCAUGAAGUAUGUGUGCUUGUAGUUAAAACCCAUAAAAUUGGGCGGUUUAAGAUGACUAAAUUAUUAAGAACACCUAUGCCAUAAAGUGUGCAUACAAGGUGUUCUACAAAAUGCCUAGAAUAGGCAUAAUCAUGUUUUCAUGAUUUAAGAGUGCUCGAUUAACAAGCCUUUACUCCAUGUUUAAUGAUUUCACGUGAAUUCCAUGUUGUGUGAAUAAAGGUCGAAUCUUUACAUGUUGUUCAUGAUAGCAUGAUAUUUUGUGGAUUCAAUUGGUGAAAUUGAGUUGAAUUAUGGUGUUAUGGUGUAUAAAAUUGAUCAUUAAGCCUAUGCCCUAAAUAAUGCAUGCAAGGUGUUUGUUAAAAUGCCUAAGUGAAGAAGAAUUGAGCACUUUGACCUAUUUGUGAUCUAAAUGAUGAUUCCAUACCAUAUCCAUGUUCUUAAGUUGACUCCCAUGCUAAAGCUAUACCUACCAUGUGUUUGAUAAUAUGCCUCAACGAAUAAAUGAGAUCAAGUACCUAGUCUUCAUGCUACAAGAUUUUUCCAUGUCUCUUAAGUUAUGCCAUGUCUACUUGAUCAAGAUAAUUUCUAUGCUAUUAAUGUGCUAUGAAUAUGUUGUUAGCUUGUCAUGAUAUUAGAAUUGACCAUGAUGUUAGGUAUAUGAAAAGGUUAUGAAAACCACAUGAUUUAUGAAUUCCCCGUAGGUGCUAUAUUAUGGAUUGUUAAUAUUGGUCAAGUACUCUUGUAUGUCAAGUCAUGUCAGUUUCCUUCCAUCGAGUCCUGGGGGUAUUCGUACCCAAAAAAUAUAGUUGUGCGCCUAGAGCCAUGUCAUGUUUUUAUGAUACUCUCAGUCAAGCCAUGUUCAGUAGACUUCAGUUAGCUAAUAGAAAUCAAUAGCAUUUAGUCAGUUAAUAGAAUUCAGUAGUGUUUCGCUAGUCAUCGGAACUCAAUAAACUCAGUUCAUGUUCAGUUCAGUUAAAAAGAAAAAUCGGUAAUAGUUCAGUUAAUUCUAGUAUGAACUAGGAAAUCAAUUCAGUAUCAUUCAGUUGGAAGUAGGAUUCAGCACCGAACAAACCCAAGGAUGGGAAAUCACCUACCAGUAGAGGGUGUGAUUCUUAGAAUCAGUCCUUGCGCUCCCAAACUAUGUAGCUAGCAUACGUUGAGACAUCAAUACCUGUCAAUUGAGGCUAGAUGAGGUGGCUUAACCUAUCAGAUGAGGGUUUCACCAUUCUCAUUAGAGUACCUACCAGAUAAGGGUCACUCACAACUUGUCCUUACCAGUGGUGCGGUGUUGACACCCUUUCAAUCAGGGUAGAGAUUGGACCCCAGCUUAGCUAUUAUAGCGUAUUUGGGGCAUGUCGGUUAUAUAACUACUUUGCAUAGUUUCUGUAUCAGUCUCAGUAAAGGAAUUCAAAUAGUUCUUCAGGAUAUCAGGACUGUCAGAUACAGUCAACUCAGAUAAAAUAUGGAACUCAGCUAGUUCUAUCAAAUUUAGGACUAUCAGAUAUAGUCAUUCAUUCUAUCAGUUAUCAGAACUCAUGUUAUCAGAUAUAUCAGUUAUCAGAAUUCAAUUAUCAUAUAUUUUAUCAAUAAAUGCAUAUCAUCAGUAUUCAUACUCAGUAGUUAUGUUAUCACGAGCUUAGUUUCAGGACUGUUAUAUACGGUUAAUCAAAUUAAUCAAAUUAGUUCUUCAUAAUCAGAUUUAUCAGAAACAAUCAUUCUUUUAUCAGUAAUAUAGUAUCAGUCUCCCAAUAUUUAGUAAUACAGUAUCAAUUCCUCACUUAUUAGUGAAUUACAUAUCAAUAUCAGUACACUCAGUCAUUCAGUAUCUCAAUAUCAGUAUACUCAGUCAUUCAGUAUCUCAAUAUUAAUAAACUCAGUCAUUCAGUAUCUCAAUAUUAAUAAACUAGUCAUUCAGUAUCUCAGCAUCAGUAAACUUAUGUUUUUAGUAUUUAAACUCAAUAGUCAGUAUCACCACAAGUUUAGUUGCAGUUACAUAUAUAUGUAUGUAUUCUCACGUUCAUAUCAGUCAGCAUUGUUCAUGUAUAUAAAACCCUUUGUAUUUAGCCUACCUCACUCGUAUACUCAGUACAUUCAGUCGUACUGACAUAUUUGCGCUAUGGUGUUCUAUUUGACGCAAUAGGUACAGAGGCACGAGUUUUAGAGUAGCAGUAGUAUUGCAGAUUUCAGCAGUCAGUGCUCCUCUUCAUUCGAGGACAAUAUUAUUAUUACUUUAUUGUUGUAUUUCAGAUUAGUUUUUCAGUUCAUGGAGUUAGUUGGAGACAUAUUCCUUCAACUCUUUAUUCAGUUCAGUUAGAGGCUUUCAGAUUGAUGUCAGAUUAGAUGUUUAGACUUCAGUAUUUAUGUUUCUUUGGGGUAUUGUUAUACCAUAUUUUUCAGAUUUGCAUCAGUAUUGAACCUUAUGGCCUUACAGUUUAUGUUUCAGAAUAUUUUAUGAGAUAUUGUGUAGUUUACAGGUACAGAUAUCAGUCAUGGGUUAGCUUGUGGUCCUUCAGGGUCAUGAGCACCGUGUAGAAUUUCGAUUCAAAAAAUUGGGGCGUUACAAACUUGGCAUCAAAGCCUAAGGUUCAACAGUGUCCUAGGAAGUCUGAAAGUUGCAUUAAGUAGAGUCUUGUACAUGGGCGUCUUAUGAACCACACUUAUGUGCAGGAGGCUAUGAGAUGUUCUAGGAAUAGUUUCCCUUCUUUCAUAUCUCAGAUUGUGCUAUAGAAAAUUUUUCUAAGAAACUCAUGCAGAUUCAUAUCACGCUCCCCUCAUGUUCACUUUACCUUACUUUCAAGGUAACAGAAAUAGUGAAGUUUAAAGUCCUAAAGCUAGGGCUUUCUCAGAUAGUCCCUACAGUCAGUUAUGGGAUUAGCCAUAGACUCAAACAGUAUCCCAUUAGUUCAUUAUUGUUCCAAGGUCGUACAAAUUUUAUUCAUGAACAUGAGAACUUAUUAUAGAGCCUAGAAGUGUAGCAGUAGUAGAGUUGGGAUAGUAUUAUUCUAUUUAUUAGGUUAUGUAUUCAUGGGGAUUAGAUCAGUAGGCUUGAACAGUACGAGCUAAAAAGUUAAGUUUUUUGACUAAAAAUUAAGCAUGAAGGUGUGAAUGUGUUAUUAGCAGUAUAUGAGGAAACAAAAUCAGAUGAUAUAUUUAGUAAGACAGGAAGGUGUUGAACAGAAUGUAGGUAUGUGAUGGUAGAUCAAGUACCUAAGCCAGGACCUCAGAUUUCAGUAGUAGAGUCAGUAGGUAUAGAAAGCAGUAAGGGAAGACAAUUCCAAACCCAUUCUCAUCUCAUUGCAGAGUUUUUCUCUUCAGCUAUCACGAAAUCAACUCAUGUGUUACAUAUCAACUCUAUGUUCAUGAACCAUGAUCAUGCACUUUUCCAUAAAUCAUGUACGGUUUUAAUUCCUAGUAUAAAGGAUCUCAAUUUACCCCGUAGUACGAAUAAAUUCCAAGAACACCACUUAUGUUCACACGUUUUCCAUAGAAUCAUGUGUGCUUUCAAUUCCUAGCAUAGGGAUUCAAAUGUAAAUCACUCAGUGUCAUGAAUCAUGUCUCACGAAUACAAAAAACUCGAAACUUAGGUCAUAUAGCUAAUGACUCAUGUACACGUAUCAUGCUUUAUAGUAUACUCAGCUUUCAUGACUCAUGCUAUACCCCUACAGAUCAGAUAAAUUCAUACCAUGUCAUGUAUAUCCUUAGUUCAAACCUUUUUGGUAAAUCCAUGCUCAGCUACCUCAUGUUAGUCAGUCAGUCCUUUCUCAUAUACUUAAUACUCUAUGGUCUCAGUCCAGCUAUUCAAACUAAGUACAAUUCAGUCUUACAUACCCAGUAUUUAAUUACUAGUUAUUCAGUUAAUCAGAUAAGUUAGUAUAUUUAUGAACUCGUACUCAGCUAAGUUCAUGCAUCAUGUCUCAGUUUCAGAUCCUAGCUAUUAAGUCACAAUUCUGUUUGUAAGUGUCUUGUACACCGCCUUAGUUUUCCUUAGUAUCUCAGCUAAGUCACUAUUAUUCAAGGGACCUAGAGUCCCAAGGGAGACAUACCCUAUAUCCCCCGACCUUAUGUGAUUUAAACAUGCCACUUUCUUUUCUCUAGAUGAAUCCAGCUGGAGGAAAGGUUACUUAAAAGCUGACCCUCUAGCUCUAAAUUUCAGUCAUAAUCUAUGUUCUUAAUGGCUCAGUUUAGCCCACGAUACUCUGUCCAUAUCACAUAUUAUAGAAUCAGUUCAACUCAUGUAUCAUGUUCCAGACUCAGUUAUGUUCUCAUGUUUUUGCUCAUGCAUAUUGAGUGAUUAAUCUCAGACUCAUCGGUAUUUUCAGUUCAACAUAACAGUCUUCCUUGAGCUUACUUAUUCUCAUGUGCAGAUUUCAGUACCAAACUUGGUACCAUUACCAUUGCAUGUUCAGCCAUAUGCUCAUCAGUCAGUUCAGUCAUGUAUCCACGCAUUAGAUACGUGUGGUCAGCUUAUAAACACUUUCAGUCAUACAUUCACGUAUCACAUCUGUCAUAUAAUCAUGCAUCAGAUAUGCAUAGACUCAGCUUAUCAGUUAUACAUCAGAUAUGCAUUCUCAUUUUGAGAAAACUUAGUUCAUCAGAACACUCAGUCCUUUAUUCAUAAAUCAGUUAUGCAUGCAUCAGAUAUGCAUGUUUAGUAUGAUAUAUUCAGCUUGUUAGUUAUGUCAACCAUGAAAUCAUAUUCAGUCGUUCAUGCUCAGUACUCACGUCAGUUGUCUUUUCUCCCCUCUCAGUUAGUCUCAUUCAAGGACGAAUGUUCCCAAGGAAGAGAUAUUGUAAGACCCCGUAAAAAUUGCAUGUCAAAUUCAGAUCGUAAAGCUCCAUGAGAGAUUCCAACACUUAGAAAAUUUUUUUGCUAAGUGUUCAAGUCCAACACUUACUCUCAUUUUAGACCUCCUAAAUUUGGGGAUUUAUAUGAUGACCUUUACGACCUCCGUUUUUAGAUUUUAAAGUUGUGUUGCGAUGAAGAAAGUCCUUAGUACGUAUUGGACACAUUUCAAGUGCAUUUUGGGUGCAUUUCAGUGGCUAACUCAUUGGUCUGAAAUGCUCCCGCAUUCCGGGCACAUUUCAGGUCAAAAAUUUCAGUCAACUUCAAAUGAUCAUAACUCCCAAUAUAUAAUAAAAUGUGAGAGCUUUUAUUUAUAAAUGGAAAGAUCUUUGAGUCUUCUUUCCAAUGAAAUUAGUUUCAUCCCAUUUAGACAUCUAAAUAAAAAGUUAUGAUCAAUUUACUUCAGUGUAUCAGACAGUCAAUUAGGGACAGAUUUGACCUUAAUUGUUCCUUAGGGGUAUUUUGGUCAUCUUCCACCCCUUUAUAUACCCUAAACACGGGAUUAAGGCUUAUUUGAAGCAAAAUAUACUCCUCUUCUAAAAAUCCUCUCAAGAACUCAAGCUAGGGUUUUAAUUCGAUGACCCAAAUUCCAUCAAUUGAAGAACAUAACUCCUUAUUUAUCUUCAAUAUCAAAAGAAGGUUUCUCUCAAGAUCAUAACCUAUAACAAGAAUCAAAUCCUUCUUCAAAAAUAUAUGAUAUUCAAGUUUUUCAAACUCAAGAGCCAAUUUAUUUUCUCUCAAAGGAACAAGAACCCUAGUCAAGGAAUCAAGAACAUGUGUAAGAAUUUCUUCAAGAAUCUUCCACCUAAGGUAU